rnacentral:lncRNA from 1 species
GGAUGCCUGACAGGUGUCACCACUGUAAACCUCCUCCUCCUGCUCUCAUGUGCUUCUUCAGAAGGAGGUAUACAGUGAACACUUGUGGGGACUUGGGCUUCACUUCUACCUGGGGAAAUUAUGUGAAAUUAUUUGUCAUGAGAAAAUUACCUCUUCUGUUUAUUUGAUGACUCAUUUAUGCAUACCAGUGUGGACAUAUGGGUAUUUAUUCUACACCCAUUGUGGGCUUAUGUAUAUUUAUUGUACCCUCAUUGUGAACUUAUGGGUAUUUAUUGAACCCCAAUGUGCACUUAUAGAUAUUUAUUCUGCCCCAGUGUGGACUUAGGGGUAUUUAUUCUAUCCCCAGUGUGGAAUCAUGGGUAUUUAUUCUAUCCCCAGUGUGGACUUAGGGGUAUUUAUUCUACCCCCAGUGUGAACUUAGGUGUAUUUAUUCUGCCCCAGUGUUGACUUAGGAGUAUCUAUGCUGCCCCAGGGUUAUGCUCUAACAUAUUAUGCUGUUCUGUUGCUUGUAUUGUCCCCAUUUGGAUCCUCCACUCUUCCACUUGGUUUCAGAUCUUCUUAUGCAUACUCUGUUCCCUAUGGGUUUUUCUUUUCUUUCCUC